AGCCUUCUGAAUCCGUGACAAGAUUUCCUCAGACACCAAUCCAUUUGUGCUGACCAGACUUCCAAGAUAAGUGAAGUU
rfam:Schistosoma haematobium scaffold20_8, whole genome shotgun sequence.